rnacentral:rRNA from 1 species
CCUUUGCCGGCGACCGGCGCACGGGUGAGUAACACGUAUGCAACCUGCCCUCUUCAGGGGGACAACCUUCCGAAAGGGAGGCUAAUCCCGCGUAUAUCGGUUUCGGGCAUCCGAGACCGAGGAAAGAUUCAUCGGAAGAGGAUGGGCAUGCGGCGCAUUAGCUAGACGGCGGGGUAACGGCCCACCGUGGCGACGAUGCGUAGGGGUUCUGAGAGGAAGGUCCCCCACACUGGUACUGAGACACGGACCAGACUCCUACGGAAGGCAGCAG